rnacentral:rRNA from 1 species
UUCGAACCUUNAGANAUGAGGGGAGUGCCUUCGGGGAAUUCACAUACAGGUGCUGCAUGGGUGUCGUCAGCUCGUGUCGUGAGGAUGUUGGGUUNAGUCCCGCAACGAGCGCAACCCUUUUNCUUAUUUGCCAGCCGGUUAAGCCGGGAACUUUAAGGGAUACUGCCAGNGACAAACUGGAGGAAGGCGGGGACGACGUCAAGUNAUCNUGGCCCUUACGACCAGGGCUACACACGUGCUACAAUGGUAGGUACAGAGGGUUGCUACACAGCGAUGUGAUGCUAAUCUCAAAAAGCCUAUCGUAGUCCGGAUUGGAGUCUGCAACUCGACUCCAUGAAGUCGGAAUCGCUAGUAAUCGCAGAUCAGAAUGCUGCGGUGAAUACGUUCCCGGGCCUUGUACACCCGAAA